CCAUGUUAUUGCAUCAUCUAUCUUCAUAUUACCCUAUAAGGGACCAAAAAUAUCUCCCUAAUUUGACACCAUGUCAUGCUCUCAAUCCCACCCAACACUGGGUGGAUUGAGAGAGCAUACAGCAAAUUGCAGUUGAUUUGCACUGCAAGACGGAACAAACUUCUGGUCGACAAUAUCCGCCAUGAGUUCUUCCUGAACGUGCUGGAACUACCUGUCCGGGAGUGUACCACUGGAUACAAUGAAGAGAUAGAGUUAGCCUCAAAGAAGAAGAUAUUUGGCGAGUUUGGUGAACUUGCUUGAUUGACAAUAUUAGUGAAUACAUAGACUUUAUCAGUGUUGUAUAUAGUAUGCAUAGAGAGACCAUAAAUAAGUCUAAAAUCA